rnacentral:rRNA from 4 species
CGACCCAGUCAGGCGGA